GACACGCUGGCGGCGUGCCUGACACAUGCAAGUCGGACGGUUCUUGCACCUUCAAGCUUGCUUGCUGGUGCAGGGAUAGUGGCGGACGGGUGAGUAACGCGUGAACAUCUACCCAUUGGAGGGGGACAACCCGUCGAAAGGCGGGCUAAUACCGCGUAAGCCGUGAGGUGAGAGGCUGCCUAUUGGUGGCCGCCGAUGGAUGGGUUCGCGUCCUAUCAGCUGGUUGGUGGGGUAACGGCCUACCAAGGCGAAGACGGGUAGCCGGUCUGAGAGGAUGGCCGGCCACACUGGAACUGAGACACGGUCCAGACUCCUACGGGAGGCAGCAGGUGGGGAAUAUUGGGCAAUGGGGGUAACCCUGACCCAGCGACGCCGCGUGAGGGACGAAGGUUUUCGGAUCGUAAACCUCUGUUGUACGGGAAGAAGGAAUUGACGGUACCGUACGAGAAAGCCCCGGCAAACUACGUG
rnacentral:rRNA from 1 species